rnacentral:rRNA from 1 species
AGCUAACGUUGGCGGCGUGCCUAACACAUGCAAGUCGAACGCGCCGGAGCAAUCCGGUGAGUGGCGAACGGGUGAGUAACACGUGGGUCAUCUCCCCUCGAGUGAGGAAUAAGCUCCCGAAAGGGAGUCUAAUACUGCAUAACGCCCCGGGACAUAAGCCCCGGGUCCAAAGCCGUAAGGCGCUUGAGGAUGAGCCUGCGUCCUAUUAGCUAGUUGGUAGGGUAAUGGCCUACCAAGGCGAAGAUGGGUAGCCGGCCUGAGAGGGUGAACGGCCACACUGGGACUGAGACACGGCCCAGACUCCUACGGGAGGCAG